rnacentral:rRNA from 1 species
GGACCCGCACAAGUAGUGGAGCAUGUGGUUUAAUUCGAAGAUACGCGCAGAACCUUACCAACACUUGACAUGUUCGUCGCGACUCUAAGAGAUUAGAGUUUUCGGUUCGGCCGGACGAAACACAGGUGCUGCAUGGCUGUCGUCAGCUCGUGUCGUGAGAUGUUGGGUUAAGUCCCGCAACGAGCGCAACCCUCACUUUUAGUUGCCAUCAUUAAGUUGGGCACUCUGAAAGAACUGCCAGUGAUAAGCUGGAGGAAGGUGGGGAUGACGUCAAGUCCUCAUGGCCCUUACGUGUUGGGCUACACACGUGCUACAAUGGUAUCUACAACAGGAAGCAAGACUGCGAAGUUAAGCAAAUCUCCAAAAGUCGUCUCAGUUCGGAUUGUCCUCUGCAACUCGAGGGCAUG